rnacentral:lncRNA from 1 species
GCCUGUUUUUGAUUUUUUUGUGUGUUUUUGAAAAAGGGCAUCAUCGCCAGUUCUAGACCUGGUGGUGAUAGCCCGACCCAUCACCGUCGACCUAGAUCCAACGGGGAUCCAAACCGGCAGUGCUGGGUCCUAGGAACUGGCAGUAAUAUAGGUGUUUGUAGUAGUGAUACACUCAAACAUGCUCCAAAUUGCAGUCUUGCAUUCUUUUUCCCAGGCUAUGUAAAU